rnacentral:rRNA from 1 species
GACGAACGCUGGCGGCGUGCUUAACACAUGCAAGUCGUACGGUAAGGCCCUUUCGGGGGUACACGAGUGGCGAACGGGUGAGUAACACGUGAGUAACCUGCCCACAACUUUGGGAUAACGCUAGGAAACUGGUGCUAAUACUGGAUAUGUGCUCCUGCUGCAUGGUGGGGGUUGGAAAGCUCCGGCGGUUGUGGAUGGACUCGCGGCCUAUCAGCUUGUUGGUGGGGUAGUGGCCUACCAAGGCGGCGACGGGUAGCCGGCCUGAGAGGGUGACCGGCCACAUUGGGACUGAGAUACGGCCCAGACUCCUACGGGAGGCAGCAGUGGGGAAUAUUGCACAAUGGGCGCAAGCCUGAUGCAGCAACGCCGCGUGCGGGAUGACGGCCUUCGGGUUGUAAACCGCUUUCAGCAGGGACGAAGCUUUUUGUGACGGUACCUGCAUAAGAAGCACCGGCUAACUACGUG